rnacentral:rRNA from 1 species
AGCAGCCGCGGUAAUUCCAGCUCCAAUAGCGUAUAUUAAAGUUGUUGCAGUUAAAAAGCUCGUAGUUGAAUUUCGGGAUUGGCGCAUCGGUCGUGCCUUACGGGGUAUGAACUGGUGCAGUCAAUUUCUCACCUUCUGGAGAACCGCGAUGUCCUUAAUUGGGUGCCGCGGGGAACCAGGACCUUUACUUUGAAAAAAUUAGAGUGUUUAAAGCAGGCAUUUUUGCUUGAAUACAUUAGCAUGGAAUAAUAAAAUAGGACGGCAUGGUUCUAUUUUGUUGGUUUCUAGGACCACCGUAAUGAUUAAUAGGGAUAGUUGGGGGCAUUAGUAUUCAAUUGUCAGAGGUGAAAUUCUUGGAUUUAUUGAAGACUAACUACUGCGAAAGCAUUUGCCAAGGAUAUUUUCAUUAAUCAAGAACGAAAGUUAGGGGAUCGAAGACGAUCAGAUACCGUCGUAGUCUUAACCAUAAACUAUGCCGACUAGGAAUCAGACGAUGUUAAUUUUUUAAUGACUCGUUUGG